CGAGAUAUAUAGAUUUAGCGCAAAGGCUACAGGCCUAAGCAAGAUAAGGUUUAAUAUUAGACCGGGCUGGAAUAUGUCCUAUAUUAUCUAAUCUAAAUCUUAAGUAUUGUUUAAGUGGUGGCACAGAAUCGGAGGCCCCGACUGUUUACUUAAAACACAGCUUUCUGCGACGAAUAAUAUCUUUGUAUAGAAAGCGAAUUUUGCCCAAUGCCAUUAAUAUAAGGUCGAUAAGCGCUUAGCGUAUUUAUUGAUUGAAGUUCUGGUCAAUGGCGGUCUUAUCUAUGAGGAUCCUAAGGUAGCAAAAUUAAUUGUCCAUUAAAUGUGGUCCUGACUGAAUAAAGUAACGAUGGUCUCGCUGUCUCUACAAGUAUCUCAGUGAAAUUGAAUUAGCCGUGCAGAUGCGNNUUNACU
rnacentral:rRNA from 1 species